UGGGUCAAGGGCGGAAUUAGUUAGGUUUC
rnacentral:piRNA from 1 species